UACGUAGGUGGCAAGCGUUGUCCGGAUUUACUGGGCGUAAAGAGCGCGCAGGCGGUCGUUCAAGUCGCGUGUGAAAGCCCCCGGCUCAACUGGGGAGGGUCACGCGAUACUGAUCGACUCGAAGGCAGGAGAGGGAAGUGGAAUUCCCGGUGUAGUGGUGAAAUGCGUAGAUAUCGGGAGGAACACCAGUGGCGAAGGCGACUUCCUGGCCUGUUCUUGACGCUGAGGCGCGAAAAGCUAGGGGAGCGAACAGG
rnacentral:rRNA from 1 species